CCUACGGGGUGCUGCAGUGGGGAAUAUUGCACAAUGGGGGAAACCCUGAUGCAGCGACGCCGCGUGAGUGAAGAAGUAUUUCGGUAUGUAAAGCUCUAUCAGCAGGGAAGAAAUACUGACCUUACGGUCAGCAGACGGUACCUGACUAAGAAGCCCCGGCUAACUACGUGCCAGCAGCCGCGGUAAUACGGAGGAUGCGAGCGUUAUCCGGAGUUAUUGGGUUUAAAGGGUGCGCAGGCGGAAGAUCAAGUCAGCGGUAAAAUUGAGUGGCUCAACCUCAUCGAGCCGUUGAAACUGGUUUUCUUGAGUGAGCGAGAGGUAUGCGGAAUGCGUGGUGUAGCGGUGAAAUGCAUAGAUAUCACGCAGAACUCAGAUUGCGAAGGCAGCAUACCGGCGCUCAACUGACGCUCAUGCACGAAAGUGUGGGUAUCGAACAGGAUUAGAUACCCGAGUAGUC
rnacentral:rRNA from 1 species